CAAAAAAAAAAAAAUCUUGUCCGUCUAUUCCAGUUGACCUCUGCCCGGGGACGAAGACGCUGUAGCCGCAGCCGCGCUUUACAUCUUACUUGGCAUGUACAUUUCCACUUCCGCCACCUUCUCCUUGCCUGCUGUAGCGUCCUCUGCUUCAGCCAUGUCGUCCGUGUCCGGCAUGCCGAACAGCUUGCCCAUCUCCUCCAGCGUCCGGCCGCGGGUCUCCGGAAGGCACGUGAAGAAGAAGACCCACGCGACGGCGGCGAUGCCGGCGUAGAGGAAGAAGCUGCCGCCGAUUGUGAUGCCUUUCGAGAGGGACAGGAAGGUCAUGGAGAUGACGGCGCUGGUGACGCGGUUGCUGGCCACGCCCACGGCGAAGCCCAGCGCGCGCACCCGCAGCGGGAAUAUCUCCGAGGUGUACACGCCCGUGAUGGGGCCGAGCCCGAUGGAGAAGAAGGCGAUGUAGGCCAGGGUGGACGCGAUGCACAGGGCCACGGCCCACGCCACCUUGCCGUCCGGGUGGUGCCCCGCCACGGUCAGGCCCGCGCCGAGGCUGAGGAGCGACACGAUCAUCCCGCCCGUGCUGGCCAGCAGCAGCGGCCGCCGCCCCGCGCGGUCCAGCAGGAACGUGGCCACCAGGAUGAAGAACGUCUUGGUCACGCCCACCGCGCAGGUCACGCCCAGCAGCUUGUUGUCGUCGGUGAUCCCCGCGCUCUUGAACAGGCGGGCGCUGUACUGGACCACGGAGUCGCUGCCGGAGGCCUGCUGGAAGAAGUGGAGCCCGACGGCCGACAGCAGUAUGCGCCGCACCGCCGGGGUCGGGGACAGGAUGAGCUGCUUCCAGACCUGCGUCUCACUACUGCCGCCGUCUCGCCCCUUGUUGGGUACGGCGACCACGUCCCCGUCCAGGUCCCUGGGAAUCCCCGCCGCGGCCUUGAUGUCGGCCAGCCGCGCCGCGGCCUCCUCUGGCGUGGCCGAGGUCCUCUCCAGCACGACCCUGGCGUCCGCGAGGCGGCCCUUCAGGACCAGCCACCGAGGCGACUCGGGCAUGCAGAACACCAGCAGCGCCAGCAGCGCGGACGGGACCGCGCCGAUGGCGAGCAUGACGCGCCAGCCGAGGUGGAGCGGGAGGCGCGCGAACGCGAAGUUGGACACGUAGCCGAGCAGGAUGCCGAUGUUGAUGAACACCUCCGGAAAGGUCGUCAGGAAGCCCCGGGACGCCGCCGGCGAGAUCUCGGCCGUGUACACGGGCGCGAUCAUGCCCCCGUAGCCCACGCCGACUCCGGCCACGAACCGGCCCGCCAUGAGCAUGCCGUAGUUCACGGCGAAGCCCAUGAGCAGCGACCCCGCGAAGAAGAUGACGGCGGCGAAGACCACGGUCAGGCGGCGCCCGAUCCUGUCGGACGUGCGCGCGCCGGCGAAGGACCCGAAGAGCGAGUAGAGGCUCAGGAUCCCUAUCAGGAUCUCCAGCUGCACGUCCGUGAUCCUCAGGUCCUUCUUGAUGUACAUCGCCGCUCCACUCAUCACCCCGAUGUCUACAGGGUUGGUGAACAGAACAUAAACUUCACCUACCAGUUACUCUUGCAAAGCAAAAGGCAAAACGUUUUGACAGCAACGGAAGAAUGGCUACCAUAGCCAAGGAUGACGGAGGCCAUGGAGGCGAGGAUGGCACAGAUGGAGGCGUACUUGACGUUGCCCUUUUUCCUCGGCUCGACGACCUUUGCCAGCUCGUCGGAAGCCAUCGUUAACGGCUGUGCUUCUUUGAUCUCCGAUUAGAGAUGAUAAGGUGGUGUGCAGCGCUGUGCCUAACUCUUUGUGUUAAACGCGUGUAUAUAUAGACAAAGAGCAAUGAUUGGAGAUAUAUGAGCAUGACCUCAUCUCGCCAACGGUGACGUGACUUUUGGACCGCC
rnacentral:misc_RNA from 1 species